UACAGAGGUGGCAAGCGUUGUUCGGAAUUACUGGGCGUAAAGGGCGCGUAGGCGGUGCGGUAAGUCUGCAGUGAAAUCUCUGGGCUCAACUCAGAGUCUGCUGUGGAAACUGCCGUGCUUGAGUGUGGGAGAGGUGAGUGGAAUUCCUGGUGUAGCGGUGAAAUGCGCAGAUAUCAGGAGGAACACCAACGGCGAAGGCAGCUCGCUGGGACGGUACUGACGCUGAGACGCGAAAGCGUGGGGAGCGAACAGG
rnacentral:rRNA from 1 species